rnacentral:other from 1 species
AUAGUCCUGAGAUGUUCGUAGAGCCUGUAAUUUCAACCGACAACAUUAAAACGGGAGUUCACGUCAGUAUAUGGAUGUCAUGUCUGUUUACCAGAAAGGCAGAAGUAUGUUGCAGAACACCCACCUGCCGUGAGGGCGGGUCUGAAAUUAUCAGGUAGCGGCAUGUCGGGCAUUUU